rnacentral:lncRNA from 1 species
UGCAGUGAUGAAAUUCUUAGAACUAUACUAGUGUACGAUAAAGAGAAAAUUUAUCGUAUAGUUUUUAAAUAUGUUCGUGAUCAAAUGAUACAUCAUUAUAGGAUGAUGAUGUUUAUCGAGUAGAGGUCAUUAUGUACCAUAUAGGUUGGUUAUCUUCUUAACCAAAGAGUAUGGUGACUCUGGUAUGACAUAUAGGUGAGAUGUAGGAGUACAUCAUCACUGAAUAAGUGACUCACCUACUG